GCAGAGAGCCAUUUCCUGCUCAAGCCAAUGUUUAGGCUACGUAAUUGUGGGAAACAGAGUUAUACCGCUCAUGUUCGGUCAACAUGACAACAACAAACAAAAUAUGAAAUUGAAUCACACAAGUAACACUUUUGUGAAAAUUGAGCAAAAAUGCCAUAUUAGUUCAAUUAUGAAACUGGCUGUCAAUUCUGAUUUGAGGUUCAAAUGAGUCGUAUAAGUGGAUUUAGAGGAAAUAAUGAAAACUCAACAGAAUCGGUGGCCUGCAGUUGAUUGAAAACUGAUACAAAUGGAUUGAGAACAUUCUUUAUGUAAAACUUUAUUAUUUUUACUCUAUUCUAUACCUUAUUUCGGUUUCCAAGGGGCAACAAAGUUUUUCCGUAAUAAACUGAAUCAUGGAUUAUUAUGGUUUCUAUGUGUAAUUCGAAGAAAGGUUAGGUAUGGAAGUUGCUUUUUUUAUGUUAAAUAAAAACGUUCAUCAUUUUUAAGGUUUGAAUCAAUCGAAAUAAGAUGGCAAUUCGAAUGAAUUCUGUGACUUGAAACAUCAUUGCCUCAAGUGGAAAAUUAGUUUACGUCAACCCAAAUAUCGACCAGCACAUGAUAAUUGUGUUAGAAUGUUUGAGAAUGUAGGGAAAUUAGAAGGACUCUGUUAAAAUUGUUGCACUGAAAUGAGGGAUUCCUACUGCCUUCGAAAAUUCAUAGUUUGUUUUAAUUGAGGAAAUUAAAAUGAGGAUUUAGUU